UACGAAGGGAGCUAGCGUUGUUCGGAAUUACUGGGCGUAAAGCGCACGUAGCCGGGCUGAAAAGUCAGGGGUGAAAUCCCGAGGCUCAACCUCGGAACUGCCUUUGAUACUGUUAGUCUUGAGCUCGGGAGAGGUGAGUGGAAUUCCUAGUGUAGAGGUGAACUUCGUAGAUAUUAGGAAGAACACCAGUGGCGAAGGCGGCUCACUGGCCCGAUUCUGACGCUGAGGUGCGAAAGCGUGUGGAGCAAACAAG
rnacentral:rRNA from 1 species